UGACAUGAUGAUUUAACUUGGAAUCUCGUUCGUCUGAAUAAUUCUGAUGUUAAACUUUUAGAUCUGAUGGUC